rnacentral:lncRNA from 1 species
AAUUGGGUCUUUUUAAACUUUUAGACUACUUCUAAAACUUUUCAAUUAAUUAUGCUAAGUUAUAUAGAUGCACAGUGAAAUUUAAACUUAGCAACAGUUUGAUGUAUAGAAUGUGACUAGAUUGAAUAUGCUUGCAACUAAAGGAUGCGCGGAUAAAAGUUAAGCAAGCAAUUUAUCUAAGUAAGUAAGUGAGUAAGUUAGACAAUGACAAGAAUCAUUACAAAC